rnacentral:rRNA from 1 species
UACGUAGGGUGCAAGCGUUAAUCGGAAUUACUGGGCGUAAAGCGUGCGCAGGCGGUUUUGUAAGUCUGUCGUGAAAUCCCCGGGCUCAACCUGGGAAUUGCGAUGGAGACUGCAAGGCUAGAAUCUGGCAGAGGGGGGUAGAUUCCACGUGUAGCAGUGAAAUGCGUAGAGAUGUGGAGGAACACCGAUGGCGAAGGCAGCCCCCUGGGUCAAGAUUGACGCUCAUGCACGAAAGCGUGGGGAGCAAACAGG